rnacentral:rRNA from 1 species
UACGAAGGGGGCUAGCGUUGCUCGGAAUCACUGGGCGUAAAGCGCACGUAGGCGGAUUGUUAAGUCAGGGGUGAAAUCCUGGAGCUCAACUCCAGAACUGCCUUUGAUACUGGCGAUCUCGAGUCCGGGAGAGGUGAGUGGAACUCCGAGUGUAGAGGUGAAAUUCGUAGAUAUUCGGAAAGAACACCAGUGGCGAAGGCGGCUCACUGGCCCGGUACUGACGCUCAGGUGCGAAAGCGUGGGGAGCAAACAGG